GACGAACGCUGGCGGCGUGCCUAAUACAUGCAAGUCGAACGCAGUGGGGACGGGUGAGUAACACGUGGGUAACCUCCCAUCAGAGGGGAUAACACUUGGAAACAGGUGCUAAACCGAUACUGAUGGAUGGCCCCGCGGGGCAUUAGCUAGUUGGUGAGGUAACGGCUCACCAAGGCCACGAUGCAUAGCCGAGCGGAGAGGGGGAUAGGCCAAACGGGGACUUAGACACGGACCCGACGCCUACGGGAGGCAGCAGGAGGGAAUCUUCGGCAAUGGACGAAAGGCGGACCGAGCAAAGCCGCGUGAGUGAAGAAGGGUUUCGGAUCGUAAAACGCUGUUGUUAGAGAAGCGGUAUCUAACCAGAAAGCCACGGCUAACUACGUGCCAGCAGCCGCGGUAAUAC
rnacentral:rRNA from 1 species